rnacentral:rRNA from 1 species
CGGAACACGAGAAAUUCCGUCGGAAUCCGCGGGGACCAUCCCGCAAGGCUAAAUACUCCCUAGUGACCGAUAGUGAACCAGUACCGUGAGGGAAAGGUGAAAAGCACCCCGGAAGGGGAGUGAAAUAGAUCCUGAAACCGUGUGCCUACAACAAGUCAAAGCUCGUUAAUGAGUGAUGGCGUGCCUUUUGUAGAAUGAACCGGCGAGUUACGAUUGCAUGCGAGGUUAAGUCGAAGAGACGGAGCCGCAGCGAAAGCGAGUCUGAAUAGGGCGAAUGAGUAUGUAGUCGUAGACCCGAAACCAUGUGAUCUACCCAUGUCCAGGUUGAAGGUGCGGUAAAACGCACUGGAGGACCGAACCCACGUACGUUGAAAAGUGCGGGGAUGAGGUGUGGGUAGCGGAGAAAUUCCAAACGAACUUGGAGAUAGCUGGUUCUCUCCGAAAUAGCUUUAGGGCUAGCCUCGGAAUUGAGAAUGAUGGAGGUAGAGCACUGUUUGGACUAGGGGCCCAUCUCGGGUUACCGAAUUCAGAUAAACUCCGAAUGCCAUUCAUUUAUAUCCGGGAGUCAGACUGCGAGUGAUAAGAUCCGUAGUCGAAAGGGAAACAGCCCAGACCACCAGCUAAGGUCCCAAAAUAUAUGUUAAGUGGAAAAGGAUGUGGGGUUGCACAGACAACUAGGAUGUUGGCUUAGAAGCAGCCACCAUUUAAAGAGUGCGUAAUAGCUCACUAGUCGAGUGACCCUGCGCCGAAAAUGUACCGGGGCUAAACAUAUUACCGAAGCUGUGGACUACACCAUUAGGUGUAGUGGUAGGAGAGCGUUCUAAGGGCGUUGAAGGUCGAUCGUGAGGACGGCUGGAGCGCUUAGAAGUGAGAAU